rnacentral:rRNA from 1 species
GACGAACGCUGGCGGCGUGCUUAACACGUGCAAGUCGAACGGUAAGGCCCUUCGGGGUACACGAGUGGCGAACGGGUGAGUAACACGUGGGUGAUCUGCCCUGCACUUCGGGAUAAGCCUGGGAAACUGGGUCUAAUACCGGAUAGGACUCCGGACUGCAUGGUCUGGGGUGGAAAGCUUUUGCGGUGGGGGAUGGGCCCGCGGCCUGUCAGCUUGUUGGUGGGGUGAUGGCCUACCAAGGCGACGACGGGUAGCCGGCCUGAGAUGGUGACCGACCACACUGGGACUGUGAUACGGCCCAGGCGCGUACGGGAGGCAGCAAUGGGGAAUAUUGUAGAAUGGGCGCAAGCCUGAUGCAGCGACGCCGCGUGAGGGAUGACGGCCUUCGGGUUGUAAACCUCUUUCAGCACAGACGAAGCGCAAGUGACGGUAUGUGCAGAAGAAGGACCGGCCAACUACGUGCCAGCAGCCGCCGUAA